rnacentral:rRNA from 1 species
GAUGAACGCUAGCGACAGGCUUAACACAUGCAAGUCGAGGGGUAACAGGGUGUAGCAAUACACCGCUGACGACCGGCGCACGGGUGAGUAACGCGUAUGCAACCUGCCUUUGACAGAGGGAUAGCCCAUGGAAACGUGGAUUAAUACCUCAUAGUCUCUUUUUCCUUCCUGGGGAAUAGAGUAAAACGAGAGUGGUCAAAGAUGGGCAUGCGUCCUAUUAGGCAGUUGGCGGGGUAACGGCCCACCAAACCGAUGAUAGGUAGGGGUUCUGAGAGGAAGGUCCCCCACACUGGUACUGAGACACGGACCAGACUCCUACGGGAGGCAGCAGUGAGGAAUAUUGGUCAAUGGUCGAGAGACUGAACCAGCCAAGUCGCGUGAGGGAUGACUGCCCUAUGGGUUGUAAACCUCUUUUCUACUGGGAGAAUAAGCCUUAUGUAUAAGGUGAUGACAGUACAGUAGGAAUAAGCAUCGGCUAACUCCGUGCCAGCAGCCGCGGUAAUACGGAGGAUGCGAGCGUUAUCCGGAUUUAUUGGGUUUAAAGGGUGCGUAGGCGGCUUUAUAAGUUAGUGGUAAAAUUUCGGAGCUUCACUCCGGUCCGCCAUUAAAACUGUAGAGCUAGAGAAUGGACGAGGUAGGCGGAAUAAGUUAAGUAGCGGUGAAAUGCAUAGAUAUAACUUAGAACUCCGAUAGCGAAGGCAGCUUACCAGACCAUAACUGACGCUGAUGCACGAGAGCGUGGGUAGCGAACAGGAUUAGAUACCCUGGUAGUCCACGCCGUAAACGAUGCUCACCGGCCCUUAGCGAUAAGACAGUUAGGGGUUAAUUGAAAAGAAUUAAGUGAGCCACCUGGGGAGUACGUCGGCAACGAUGAAACUCAAAGGAAUUGACGGGGGCCCGCACAAGCGGAGGAACAUGUGGUUUAAUUCGAUGAUACGCGAGGAACCUUACCUGGGUUUAAAUGUAUGUUGCAUAAUCUGGAAACAGUUUUUCUCUUCGGAGCUAUAUGCAAGGUGCUGCAUGGUUGUCGUCAGCUCGUGCCGUGAGGUGUCGGGUUAAGUCCCAUAACGAGCGCAACCCUUACCGUUAGUUGCUAGCAUGUAAUGAUGAGCACUCUAGCGGGACUGCCACCGUAAGGUGAGAGGAAGGGGGGGAUGACGUCAAAUCAGCACGGCCCUUACAUCCAGGGCGACACACGUGUUACAAUGGCCAUAACAGAGGGUAGCUACCGGGUGACCGGAUGCAAAUCUCGAAAAUUGGUCUGAGUUCGGAUUGGAGUCUGCAACCCGACUCCAUGAAGUUGGAUUCGCUAGUAAUCGCGCAUCAGCCAUGGCGCGGUGAAUACGUUCCCGGGCCU